rnacentral:piRNA from 1 species
UAAGAGUGGUACAAGCUUCCCUGUCA